GAUGAACGCUGGCGGCGUGCAUAACACAUUCAAGUCGAACGAAGUAAAGAAUUCGUUUUUUACUUAGUGGCGGACGGGUGAGUAACGCGUGAGCAACCUGCCUUUGUGAGGGGGAUAACGUUUGGAAACGAACGCUAAUACCGCAUGAAGCAUAGAAGUCACAUGGCUUUUAUGCCAAAAGAUUUAUCGCACAAAAGAUGGGCUCGCGUCUAAUUAGAUAGUUGGUGGGGUAACGGCCUACCAAGUCGACGAUUAGUAGCCGGACUGAGAGGUUGAACGGCCACAUUGGAACUGAGAUACGGUCCAG
rnacentral:rRNA from 1 species